ACGGAGGGUGCAAGCGUUGUCCGGAAUCAUUGGGCGUAAAGAGUUCGUAGGUGGUAUGUUAAGUCGGGUGUUAAAUCCCGAAGCUCAACUUCGGUUCUGCACCGGAUACUGGCAAACUUGAAUGUGGUAGAGGUAAAGGGAAUUCCUGGUGUAGCGGUGAAAUGCGUAGAUAUCAGGAGGAACACCGGUGGCGAAGGCGGUUUACUGGGCCAUUCUUGACGCUGAGGCGCGAAAGCCGGGGUAGCGAAUGG
rnacentral:rRNA from 1 species